rnacentral:rRNA from 1 species
GUGAGGAAUAUUGCUCAAUGGGCGAAAGCCUGAAGCAGCAACGCCGCGUGCGCGAUGAAGGCCUUCGGGUCGUAAAGCGCUUUUGAGAGGGACGAGAUAGGACGGUACCUCUGGAAUAAGUCACGGCUAACUACGUGCCAGCAGCCGCGGUAAAACGUAGGUGGCAAGCGUUAUCCGGAUUCACUGGGCGUAAAGCGCGUGCAGGUGGCUUCGUAAGUUGGACGUUAAAUCUCCCGGCCUAACCGGGAGGAGUCGUUCAAUACUGCGGGGCUGGAGGGCAGAAGAGGGGGGUGGAAUUGCUGGUGUAGUGGUGAAAUGCGUAGAUAUCAGCAGGAACACCCGUGGCGAAAGCGGCCCCCUGGUCUGCUCCUGACACUCAGACGCGAAAGCUAGGGGAGUGAACGGGAUUAGAAACCCCAGUAGUCC